rnacentral:lncRNA from 1 species
GGAAGGAAGGUGACUGCAAGGGAAUAAGGAUGAUCUUGAGGUACAGGAUGAGGUGGUAGGAGAUCUGGUUUCUGUCCCCAGCUCUGUCCUUAGCACGUGGCUUUGGAUGAGUCAGUUAGCCUCUUUGUGUCCCAGUGUCAUCUUCUGUACAAUAGUGAUGCUUGUUCUUGCCUGCCUCUCCAAGUUACUGUGAGGAAACUUGGUAAUGUCCAAGGGGUGUUCAAAUAGUAUGACAGUGAGUGCUCUGGGGGAGGGAUAGCUCAGUGGUUUGAGCAUUGGCCUGUUAAACCCAGGGUUGUGAGUUCAAUCCUUGAGGGGGCCAUUUAGGGAUCUGGGGCAAAAAUCUGUCAGGGAUGGGCUCUGCUUUAAGCAGGGGGUUGGACUAGAUGACCUCCUGAGGUCCCUUCCAAUCCUGAUAUUCUAUAGAAAUGCCUGAAAGUUCAUUUAAAUGAAUGCUCCAGUGUCAGCUGGGGUGGAGUAUGGGCUGCAUCAGGAGGUUGCUGUCUCUUCCUUGGGAGCAUCACAUCUUUCCCUCUCCUUUUGGUUAAAAGGAAACCUCUUUCCACUAUUCCCCUCACUCACUCCACAAACAUGUAGUAGAUAUUCUACCAUACUCUUGGAAGCUGGAUCCCUACAUUCCCAAAGCUCUGGGGGGAGGUGUCAUAUCUGGGAUCUGGUUCAUCUCUGACCCUGACACUGCAUGGUGAUGGGUCAUACCACAGUGCCUAGAAAUAUCCAUGCAAUUAAUGCCCUGAUGCAAAGUCACGAAGUCAGGGCAUGAUUUUGUGACUCUCUGUAGUGCCAUUCAGCAGCAGGGGCAGGGGUGGGGGAACAGUGUUGUUGGGUAAAAUCUGUUUCUGACCUGUUUUAUGUAAUGUCCAUCUUGGAUUUGUAAAAGGACAGCUAAGCCUCCAUCUUGGAUACCCUUCUCCUCAGAUGAUUUAGUGCCCUUUCAGCCUUUUUCAAAUUAAGGUGGUCAGGGCAGUUAGAGUCAUGGGAUAGCCAUAAUCUGCCUAGCAAGCGCAGGUUAUUUAGUGAGUGGCACACCUGUCACUCAGGGCUGCCCAUCUGAGCGGCAGCCAGUGUCCCACACAGUUCAGCUAGCUGCCAGGAGCCCCAGAGGGACCAGGACUCAUAGGACUUUGGAUUCUUGGUCUCUAUUAACAUACUUGCACUCAACUGCUACACACCAUAGUGAACGCAUACUUGCACUGAACUACGAGGUCAAGCAGAGACUGCGUGGCCAAGUACUGAAGACCUACCUGAGGGAGAAGAUCUGCCCAAGAGGGAGAAGACCUGCCCAGAGGACCUGUCCAGAGAGAGAAGAAUACCCAGUUCCUGAGUUCCUGUUUGGUGUCCAGUGACCCUGAUUUUCACCACUAUCCCUGUCGGUAUCCUGAGUCUUUGUCGCUGUCUCUCUGUCUUCAGGAUAUGGUAUUGUAAUACCCAUUGUGGUUUUCCUCUGUUUUACAUCCAUAGGUUAAGGGGGUUUAAGGGCUCUGGUAACUGUUAACAACCGAGUGUGUCUUGCUUAUGUUGUUUAUUGUCUGAAGGAGUCCUUGUCUAGUAGCAUAAUAAAUAUUGGUGUGUUACAUCUUAUUCUGCUUCU